UAAAUGUUUGAUUUUGGCUUGAAUUUUUGCAUUUCUAUUAAAGUCGCAUGAAAAUUAUUGAGUGGGUAAGAAAAGGGCUGAUUUUAUAUUAGUCGAAUAAAAUGAAUGAAAAUUAGGUUUAUGAAGUGUAAACCCUCAGCGUAGCUUAUUAUAAGUCUAUACGAAAGUAUGAGUUAAUAAUAGAAUAGAUACCUGAUAAAUGUUUGUGCCAGCAUUCGCGGUUAAACUUCAGGGUUAAGUAAAAAUGUUUGAGUUGGUAGUCAAGCGGUUAGUCGAAUAUUAAAAAUUAGAUUACUAUAAAGGGUAAAAUCGGGAUAUAGUUUAUAAUUAGAAAAGACUGAAGCAGAAGCUAGAUAAAUUUAGUAAAAAACUAGGAUUAGAUACCCUAUUAUUCUAAAUUAAAAUUUUUAUCGACCAGACUAGUAGGAGCAAGAAGUUAUUUUCUUAAAAAUUAAAAAAUUUGGCAGUAGUUUAAUCUCUUUAGAGGAACUUGUUUUUUGAUCGAUACACCACGAAGAAUCUCACUUAUUCUUGUAAAGUCUAGUUUGUAUACCGUCAUUAUCAGAUAAUUCCUAAAGGACAGAAUUAUUGAACUUAAUUUAUCUAGAAAAAUUAGAUCAUGGUGCAGCUUAUGAAUAAGUUAAAAUGGGUUACAAUAAAUUAAUUUAAACGGAUUAUAAAAUGAAAAUUUAUAUAAAGGAGGAUUUAAUUGUAUUGGGGAUAAAGAAUGUCUGCAAGAAAUAAGCUCUAAACUAUGUACAUAUCGCCCGUCGCUUUCGUUUAUAAAUGAAAUAAGUCGUAACAUAGUAGGUGUACUGGAAAGUGUACCUAGAAGUAA
rnacentral:ncRNA from 1 species